GUAUUAAUGAGAGUUUGAUCCUGGCUCAGGACGAACGCUGGCGGCGUGCCUAAUACAUGCAAGUAGAACGCUGAAGAGAGGAGCUUGCUCUUCUUGGAUGAGUUGCGAACGGGUGAGUAACGCGUAGGUAACCUGCCUUGUAGCGGGGGAUAACUAUUGGAAACGAUAGCUAAUACCGCAUAACAAUGGAUGACACAUGUCAUUUAUUUGAAAGGGGCAAUUGCUCCACUACAAGAUGGACCUGCGUUGUAUUAGCUAGUAGGUGAGGUAAUGGCUCACCUAGGCGACGAUACAUAGCCGACCUGAGAGGGUGAUCGGCCACACUGGGACUGAGACACGGCCCAGACUCCUACGGGAGGCAGCAGUAGGGAAUCUUCGGCAAUGGGGGCAACCCUGACCGAGCAACGCCGCGUGAGUGAAGAAGGUUUUCGGAUCGUAAAGCUCUGUUGUAAGUCAAGAACGGGUGUGAGAGUGGAAAGUUCACACUGUGACGGUAGCUUACCAGAAAGGGACGGCUAACUACGUGCCAGCAGCCGCGGUAAUACGUAGGUCCCGAGCGUUGUCCGGAUUUAUUGGGCGUAAAGCGAGCGCAGGCGGUUUGAUAAGUCUGAAGUUAAAGGCUGUGGCUCAACCAUAGUUCGCUUUGGAAACUGUCAAACUUGAGUGCAGAAGGGGAGAGUGGAAUUCCAUGUGUAGCGGUGAAAUGCGUAGAUAUAUGGAGGAACACCGGUGGCGAAAGCGGCUCUCUGGUCUGUAACUGACGCUGAGGCUCGAAAGCGUGGGGAGCGAACAGGAUUAGAUACCCUGGUAGUCCACGCCGUAAACGAUGAGUGCUAGGUGUUGGAUCCUUUCCGGGAUUCAGUGCCGCAGCUAACGCAUUAAGCACUCCGCCUGGGGAGUACGACCGCAAGGUUGAAACUCAAAGGAAUUGACGGGGGCCCGCACAAGCGGUGGAGCAUGUGGUUUAAUUCGAAGCAACGCGAAGAACCUUACCAGGUCUUGACAUCCCGAUGCUAUUUCUAGAGAUAGAAAGUUACUUCGGUACAUCGGUGACAGGUGGUGCAUGGUUGUCGUCAGCUCGUGUCGUGAGAUGUUGGGUUAAGUCCCGCAACGAGCGCAACCCCUAUUGUUAGUUGCCAUCAUUCAGUUGGGCACUCUAGCGAGACUGCCGGUAAUAAACCGGAGGAAGGUGGGGAUGACGUCAAAUCAUCAUGCCCCUUAUGACCUGGGCUACACACGUGCUACAAUGGUUGGUACAACGAGUUGCGAGUCGGUGACGGCGAGCUAAUCUCUUAAAGCCAAUCUCAGUUCGGAUUGUAGGCUGCAACUCGCCUACAUGAAGUCGGAAUCGCUAGUAAUCGCGGAUCAGCACGCCGCGGUGAAUACGUUCCCGGGCCUUGUACACACCGCCCGUCACACCACGAGAGUUUGUAACACCCGAAGUCGGUGAGGUAACCUUUUGGAGCCAGCCGCCUAAGGUGGGACAGAUGAUUGGGGUGAAGUCGUAACAAGGUAGCCGUAUCGGAAGGUGCGGCUGGAUCACCUCCUUUCUAAGGA
rnacentral:rRNA from 1 species